rnacentral:rRNA from 1 species
UACGUAGGGACCAAGCGUUGUUCGAAUUUACUGGGCGUAAAGCGCACGUAGGCGGAUCGUUAAGUCGGGGGUGAAAUCCUGGAGCUCAACUCCAGAACUGCCUUCGAUACUGGCGAUCUUGAGUCCGGAAGAGGUGAGUGGAACUCCUAGUGUAGAGGUGGAAUUCGUAGAUAUUAGGAAGAACACCAGUGGCGAAGGCGGCUCACUGGCCCGGUACUGGACGCUGAGGCGCGAAAGCG